UACGUAGGGGGCAAGCGUUGUCCGGAAUCAUUGGGCGUAAAGAGCGUGUAGGCGGUUCGGUAAGUCUGCUGUGAAAGUCCAGGGCUCAACCCUGGGAUGCCGGUGGAUACUGUCGGACUAGAGUACGGAAGAGGCGAGUGGAAUUCCCGGUGUAGCGGUGAAAUGCGCAGAUAUCGGGAGGAACACCAGUGGCGAAGGCGGCGACCUGGACAGAUAUUGACACUGAGGUGCGAAAGCGUGGGGAGCAAACAGG
rnacentral:rRNA from 1 species